CGCUUGAAUAUUCAUUUAUCUUCUUUUUCUCUUUUAACUUACAAUUUCAAACUUUCAGAAAAUCUUCUGGAACUGUCCAUAUUUUUCUUAAUUAUAUUUACUAAUUUUUCAUUUAGCCUUAUCUAUCCAAACUUGCAUAAAUUAUUAAUUAAUAUUUGACAUAAUUUCAAGGCGUUCUCAUUUUUCGUACGGUAAACUUUAUGUACUCCCUCUGUUCCUAAAACAUUGACGUUUUAGAGAGUAAUUUUUGUUCUUAAAAAAUUGACGUUUUGAGUUUAUCAAUACAAAUUAAUUCUUUU
rnacentral:lncRNA from 1 species